rnacentral:SRP_RNA from 1 species
GCUGGGCAUGGUGGUGCGUGCCUGUAAUCCCAGCUACUCAGGAGGCUGAGGCAGGAGAACCGCUUGAACCCAGGAGGUGGAGGUUGCAGUGAGCUGAGGUAGUGCCAUUGCCCUCCAACCUGGGUGACAGAGCGAGACUCUGUCUCAA